rnacentral:rRNA from 1 species
UUUAAAUGUAAAUUUAUUUGUUAAAGUAGUAAUAGUUAUGUUCUUGAAAUUUAAAAAUUUUGGCGGUAUUUUAGUCUAUUUAGAGGAACCUGUCCUAUAAUUGAUAAUCCACGAUAAAUUAUACUUAAAUUAAAAGUUUGUAUAUCGUCGUUUUUAAUAAUUUUAUAAGAAUUGAAAUUAUUAAGAUUUUUUAUUUAAAAAAUAAAUCAGAUCAAGGUGCAGUUUAUAUUUAAGAAGAGAUGGGUUACAAUAAAUUUAUUUAUUUAUGGAUUUAUAUAUGAAAAUUUAUAAUAAAGGUGGAUUUAAAAGUAAUAAAGUUUACAUAAAUUUUAUGAUUUUAGCUCUAAAAUGUGU